AUUGAACGCUGGCGGCAGGCCUAACACAUGCAAGUCGAACGGUAGCAGGAGGCAGCUUGCUGCUUCGCUGACGAGUGGCGGACGGGUGAGUAAUGUCUGGGAAACUGCUUGAUGGAGGGGGAUAACUACUGGAAACGGUAGCUAAUACCGCAUAACGUCGCAAGACCAAAGAGGGGGACCUUCGGGCCUCUUGCCAUCGGAUGUGCCCAGAUGGGAUUAGCUAGUAGGUGGGGUAACGGCUCACCUAGGCGACGAUCCCUAGCUGGUCUGAGAGGAUGAGCAGCCACCCUGGAACUGAGACACGGUCCAGACUCCUACGGGAGGCAGCAGUGGGGAAUAUUGCACAAUGGGCGCAAGCCUGAUGCAGCCAUGCCGCGUGUAUGAAGAAGGCCUUCGGGUUGUAAAGUACUUUCAGCGGGGAGGAAGGCGAUAAGGUUAAUAACCUUGUCGAUUGACGUUACCCGCAGAAGAAGCACCGGCUAACUCCGUGCCAGCAGCCGCCGCAG
rnacentral:rRNA from 1 species